rnacentral:rRNA from 1 species
GUCCACGCCCUAAACGAUGCCGACUGGACGUUGGGAGGAACUUGCCUCUCAGUGUCGAAGCUAACGCGUUAAGUCGGCCGCCUGGGGAGUACGGUCGCAAGACUGAAACUCAAAGGAAUUGACGGGGCCCGCACAAGCGGUGGAGUAUGUGGUUUAAUUCGAUGCAACGCGCAGAACCUUACCUGGCCUUGACAUGUCCGGAAUCCUGCCGAGAGGUGGGAGUGCCUUCGGGAAUCGGAACACAGGUGCUGCAUGGCUGUCGU